GGGGGGCAUCUGUAAGCUUAGAUGUUGGCCGAUACAAUCUUCCUAAAGCAACCUUGCACUUCGGUUUCUUGGAUAGUUGCACUGCCUUAGAGAGCUCUGCAAGUCGAGGAUGAAGUGCAUAUACGA